rnacentral:rRNA from 1 species
UACAGAGGGUGCGAGCGUUAAUCGGAAUUACUGGGCGUAAAGCGUGCGUAGACGGUAGCGUAAGUCCGACGUGAAAUCCCCAGGCUUAACUUGGGAACUGCGUCGGAUACUGGUGGGCUUGAAUCCGGGAGAGGGAUGCGGAAUUCCAGGUGUAGCGGUGAAAUGCGUAGAUAUCUGGAGGAACACCGGUGGCGAAGGCGGCAUCCUGGACCGGCAUUGACGCUGAGUGAGCGAAAGCCAGGGGAGCAAACGGG